GUGAGGAAUAUUGCGCAAUGGAGGCAACUCUGACGCAGCCAUGCCGCGUGCAGGAAGAAGGCGCUACGCGUUGUAAACUGCUUUUAACCGGGAAGAAACCCCAGGACGUGUCCUGGGUUGACGGUACCGGAGGAAUAAGCACCGGCUAACUUCGUGCCAGCAGCCGCGGUAAUACGAAGGGUGCAAGCGUUAUCCGGAUUCAUUGGGUUUAAAGGGUGCGUAGGCGGAGCGUUAAGUCAGUGGUGAAAUCCUGCAGCUUAACUGUAGACUUGCCAUUGAUACUGGCGCUCUUGAGUGCGCUUGAAGUAGGCGGAAUGUGCCGUGUAGCGGUGAAAUGCUUAGAUAUGGCACAGAACACCAAUUGCGAAGGCAGCUCACUAAGGCGAUACUGACGCUGAGGCACGAAAGCGUGGGGAUCGAACAGGAUUAGAUACCCCUGUAGUCC
rnacentral:rRNA from 1 species